UGUGUCAUCAACAAUCCCAUCACAAACCACACACAACAUCUCAACAUCACUCAAGUCUGUCACAAGUGUUCAGAUCCACAAUCCUUAAGAACUUUGUAGAAUGAUUUUGCAGAAUUGUCUUGGAGUAGAAAAUACUGUCUGUCCAAAGAUGAUCAAAGCAAAGCAGUGUCUCUUUAGUGGAAAAAGUGUGUUUCAGGAUGUUCUUAUGGAGAAAAGGGCCUUGCGAGACAAAGGCUCAGUCAAAAAUAGAUUGAAAAGUCUGAAAACACAGAUUCCUUUUGAACAUUGAAUUAAACACCACCUCUGGAGUGAACAAAAGGUUUCCAAACAACAAAAGUAAGCGUUUAAAGAACAAUUGUGCUUUUAUUGUCCCAAUACUUCGACAGGACACUGUAUAUAAGCACACACACAGUCAUCAUAUUAUGACCCGGAUGGCUCUUCUUAACCCUUUUGUGGCAAAGUGGGAGUUUCUGAAAUUGAUUCUUAUAUUAAUUGAUAAUUAGGGGGAAAUGGAGUAUUAUAUCAUCGCUCUGAAAAAAUAAAGCAAAUGCUUAAAAACUUGAAGAGAGACCUCACAUGGGUAUUUGAACCACUAAAUAUUAAUAUCUGUGCUGUUACUAUAAACCUUUGGUAAAAACUUCUUUUUUUAUGGUUAGGUUGACAUUUUCACGGAAUUGCCCUUCUUUUAUUCCUUUUAUUCCUCAGACUGUAGAUGCUGUUGUAAUGGUCCUGAACCUGUGAUCCGAUUGGCCAUCUCUGCUGUGGUGGGCGUGGCUACUGUCGCAGUUCUGGUGUAUGACGUCAGAUGUAGAAAAGUUCAGACUUCACCAUCAGAUCAUCGCUGAUAUUGGACACAGUCACAUCUACUGUAACUUACACGUGUAUCUUUGAGUCUGUACACGAGCAACAUUCACCACUUUAUAAUGCCAAAGUUUAGCUUUUCAUAUAACUUUUGACUUUAUUAUACAACAUUCGUCUAUGAGCUCAUAACUUGGAUUGCAAAUGUUAAUGAUUAUUGUAUGUUUGUCUUGUUAUAGUGUUUGUGUAGUAAUCUGUUCAUCUAUGACUGCAAUAAAAACAAAGUUAUAUAUU